UCCACGCGUACCCAUCCCGAACACGACCGUUAAGCCCUCCAGCGCCGAUGGUACUUGGACCGAAGGGUCCUGGGAGAGUAGGACGCCGCCAAGC
rnacentral:rRNA from 1 species